CCGCUGGCAUGCUGCAGCCACGGAGGAAGUCUCUGAGAGGCGCCCCGACGGGGAAGGAGCCUGGAACUAAUGCAGCCACCGACUGACAGUGGCGAACUGUUUACACUGAACAAAAACAGAAGAAAUGGGGGAGGGAGAAAAUCUCAAAUUCUCCUGUAUGCUGGAGACUUGCUGGCUGAAAUUCAACACAAGCAGGGUCCAAACCAGACUCGACACGGCUGCCCUUUGAAAGUCACAUGCAGAAGGCUUUCUGGCAGAGGGCACAGCGGAAAGCAGUUCUCCUUGGCCUCCUGGAUUAACAAGCUCAUCUGAAGGGAAGGAAAGUUUUGAGUGGGCCAGCAUUCGGCAUGAAGAGAAAUGGCUGUUUUGUGGAUGCCUAUCAUGUGAGCAGGUCAAACAGCUGCAUUUGUCCUUUCAAUGGACUUCCUUGAGCGCAUCAGAAUGUGUGUGUUUACCUGGCCUUUUUUCCUUGAAGACUUGGAAAUAUAACACAAACAACUGCAAUACCAAAGCCCACGCCCUUGAAUGCUCUGCGAGUUUUAUGCUUACAACAAGUACAAAAGCGCUGAAACAAGGCAACAGCCCGUCAGAAGCACCUUCUGAAAGCAACUAUAACGCUCACUCACAUCAAGUGAUAGCACCAUGCUAGUGGGAAUGCCAACGCCACACAAGGGGCUGUUAGCUGUGAGCGAAUACGGACGGACAGGAUGAAGAAGCAGAACGAAUAAUAGUGAAUCAAGCUUGGCUUUCUUUCCUGCUAAAGCUCAUUUGGUGGAAAGAUUGAGGUUAAACAGAGGAAAAUGAGAAGGGAUUUUGGUAGACGGAGAAAAAAAAACACCCUAAUUCUCCUAACUCACACCAGCUGACGGCCCCGGGCCCCGCAGCUGUCAGACAGGCCGGGCAGCGGCGGGCGGGCCCGACCCGGGGGCGGGGGAGGAAAAC